GUGCUUGAAUUGGCAGCAUAUAUACUAAAAUUUGAUGGAGAAGAUUAGCAUGGCCCUUUCACAAGGAUAACACACAAAUUUGUAAAGCAUUCCAUAUUUUU
rnacentral:snRNA from 1 species